GUUCCCAACCUCUCCCGGAUUCGAUUCGAUUGACCCGUCCGCUCCAAAUCGAAUCUAAUCAGCAGUUUUGGAGUUGCGGAAGGGAGAAAGAGAGAGGAGAGGGGCAUGGAUCAGGUGCUCAACAAGGUGGGGAGCUACUGGUUCAGCAAAAGGGCCAGCAAGGAAAUCGACUCCAUCGGCGACGACAUCAGCCAUACUACCCUCCCAAGAUAACUACUAUAGGAAUCUGAUGAACCAAGAUGAUACAGAUAAUUUAGGCUCGGAGGAUUACGUGCAAGUUGAUCCUCUUGUAGCUAAUAUGAAUUCCCAGACAAAACCAAAGGGCCUCUCAAAAAAUUUCACUGAUGAUGAGGACAUUCUACUGUUGUCAGCGUAUCUCAAUGUUAGCAAAGAUCCUAUUGCUGGAAGGGACCAAAAAGAUGGCAGAUUUUGGGAAAGAAUUGAAAAGUAUUAUCAUGUCAAUUUAACAUUUGAAUCGCUCUUCAUUGCAUCAUCGAUGGGGUAUAAUCCAAAAGAAAGUAAGUCUUUCCAAAGUUACUAUGAAGCCAUACAAAGGAAGAAUGAAAGUGGAAAGACAAUGAAUGACAAGAUUGCUGAUGCUAAAGCUAUGUUCCAAACCUUAAGAAAAAAGGCUUUUACUUUGUUUCAUGCUUGGAAUAUUCUUAGACACGAGCCAAAGUGGUCAUCAAUAAAGGACUCCACAAUGGCUACCAAGAAGCUAGAUCCUCACAACGGUAAUGAAGAUGAUGGACAUGACACCCCUAGACCACCAGGAAGGAAAGCCGAGAAAGAUAAAUUGCGAGCACGAAAGCGAGAGGACAAUGACAAUGAUGCAUUGAUGGAAGAACUAAAAAAAUUAGAGAGUCAAGAUUGGAGAUAGAAAAUGAUCGUAAUGCACGAGAAGACAAGUUAUUAGAGCCGGAGAGUAGUAAACUUGAUCUUGAGCGUGAACAACGUGACGACAAGGUGAUGAGAACCGACACAAGUACAAUGGAUGAUGAGUCGAAACAAUAUUUUAAGUUAGUGAAAGAGGAAAUUUUGGCGCG
rnacentral:misc_RNA from 1 species